GGAAUAUUGGACAAUGGGGGGAACCCUGAUCCAGCCAUGCCGCGUGUGUGAAGAAGGCCUUUUGGUUGUAAAGCACUUUAAGCGAGGAGGAGGCUCCCUAGACUAAUACUCUAGGAGAGUGGACGUUACUCGCAGAAUAAGCACCGGCUAACUCUGUGCCAGCAGCCGCGGUAAUACAGAGGGUGCAAGCGUUAAUCGGAUUUACUGGGCGUAAAGGGUACGUAGGUGGUCUUUUAAGUCGGAUGUGAAAUCCCUGAGCUUAACUUAGGAAUUGCAUUCGAUACUGGGAGACUAGAGUAUGGGAGAGGAUGGUAGAAUUCCAGGUGUAGCGGUGAAAUGCGUAGAGAUCUGGAGGAAUACCGAUGGCGAAGGCAGCCAUCUGGCCUAAUACUGACACUGAGGCACGAAAGCAUGGGGAGCAAACAGGAUUAGAUACCCUUG
rnacentral:rRNA from 1 species